CUUUCUCGACGGCUUCUUGCUUCUUCUUUGCAAUCUUACUCGGCUUGCUUCUACCUUUUGUUUUCUUCUUCAUAGGCAUACUUUUAGCUUCCUCAAUAGCAGCUUCCAUUUCAGCUUCUCUAUCCUCCUUCGUUGGCGGUUGCUUCUUUCUUGUUGACCUCACUGUACCAAUCUUUGAGGGAUCUAACAUGAUAGUCUCUGGAGGAAUUAUCCUCCUUUGUAGGCUGUUCCUUCUUUCUUGCUGACCUCACUGUACCAAUCUUUGUAGGAUCUAACAUGAUAGUCUCUGGAGGAAGCUUAUCAAGAAGAGAGCGGACU
rnacentral:lncRNA from 1 species